rnacentral:rRNA from 1 species
GUGGGGAAUAUUGGACAAUGGGCGAAAGCCUGAUCCAGCCAUGCCGCGUGUGUGAAGAAGGUCUUCGGAUUGUAAAGCACUUUAAGUUGGGAGGAAGGGCAGUAAGUUAAUACCUUGCUGUUUUGACGUUACCGACAGAAUAAGCACCGGCUAACUUCGUGCCAGCAGCCGCGGUAAUACGAAGGGUGCAAGCGUUAAUCGGAAUUACUGGGCGUAAAGCGCGCGUAGGUGGUUUUGUAAGUUGGAGGUGAAAUCCCCGGGCUCAACCUGGGAACUGCCUCCAAAACUGCAUGACUAGAGUACGGUAGAGGGUAGUGGAAUUUCCUGGGUAGCGGUGAAAUGCGUAGAUAUAGGAAGGAACACCAGUGGCGAAGGCGACUACCUGGACUGAUACUGACACUGAGGUGCGAAAGCGUGGGGAGCAAACAGGAUUAGAUACCCCUGUAGUCC